AGGAAAAGAUCCUUUCAAUGACCAAGUCAGGAAGUUCUGCCCAGUUGCCUUGACUCUUGUCUUCCACAUAACAUUCUCUUUCUUCUUCUUCACCAGUAGUGGCUUCAUGGCUUUUACCUUUGCCGCGGUUGUCUUGUUUCCAGGCUGCGCCAACCAUAAUAGUGGAGCUUACUGGUUUUAUCCAGCUGAUUACAAAAUGACUACCUAAUUCGACCACACGAUCGACCGCGUUUUGUGAAACUCUGCAGCACUCACCAAUAGAUAGUCAACGAGAAAAAAUCAAAAUACAUUACAGUAAAUAAGACAUUUCGCCGACCAGUGAAUGCGAAUAUAUGUUUCGUCUUUUCCAAAAUGUGUUUUGCUAUUUGGAUAUAGACUUCUGCGCCAUCUAA